rnacentral:rRNA from 1 species
CCUACGGGGAGCAGCAGUGGGGAAUAUUGGGCAAUGGGCGCAAGCCUGACCCAGCAAUGCCGCGUGAAGGAAGAAGGCUUUCGGGUUGUAAACUUCUUUGACAGGGGAAGAGCAGAAGACGGUACCCUGAAAACAAGCCACGGCUAACUACGUGCCAGCAGCCGCGGUAAUACGUAGGUGGCAAGCGUUGUCCGGAUUUACUGGGUGUAAAGGGCGAGUAGCCGGGAAGGCAAGUCAGAUGUGAAAUCUGGAGGCUCAACCUCCAAAUUGCAUUUGAAACUGUUUUUCUUGAGUACUGGAGAGGCAGACGGAAUUCCUUGUGGAGCGGUGAAAUGCGUAGAUAUAAGGAGGAACACCAGUGGCGAAGGCGGUCUGCUGGACAGCAACUGACGGUGAGGCGCGAAAGCGUGGGGAGCAAACAGGAUUAGAUACCCCGGUAGUC